rnacentral:rRNA from 1 species
AUUGAACGCUGGCGGCAGGCCUAACACAUGCAAGUCGAGCGGAUGACGGGAGCUUGCUCCUUGAUUCAGCGGCGGACGGGUGAGUAAUGCCUAGGAAUCUGCCUGGUAGUGGGGGACAACGUUUCGAAAGGAACGCUAAUACCGCAUACGUCCUACGGGAGAAAGCAGGGGACCUUCGGGCCUUGCGCUAUCCGAUGAGCCUAGGUCGGAUUAGCUAGUUGGUGAGGUAAUGGCUAACCAAGGCGACGAUCAGUAACUGGUCUGAGAGGAUGAUCAGUCACACUGGAACUGAGACACAGUCCAGACUCCUACGGGAGGCAGCAGUGGGGAAUAUUGGACAAUGGGCGAAAGACUGAUCCAGCCAUGCCGCGUGUGUGAAGAAGGUCUUCGGAUUGUAAAGCACUUUAAGUUGGGAGGAAGGGCAGUAAGUUAAUACCUUGCUGUUUUGACGUUACCGACAGAAUAAGCACCGGCUAACUCUGUGCCAGCCGCCGCUGUAACAC